CAAUUGAUAUCUUAAAUUAAAGAAAUGAUCUUUUAAAUCAUUAAUAGUAUAAAUAAAUAAAUACUUCAAUUGA
rnacentral:tRNA from 1 species